CGUAGGGGGCGAACGUUGUCCGGAUCUACUGGGUGUAAAGGGUGCUCAGGUGGUUUUGUAAGUCAGAGGUGAAAUUUCGGGGCUCAACCCCGGACCUGCCUUUGAUACUGCAAGGCUUGUGUACGGAAGAGGCUGAUGGAAUUUCUGGUGUAGCAGUGAAAUGCGUAGAUAUCAGAAAGAACACCAGUGGCGAAGGCGGUCAGCUGGUCCGGUACAGACACUAAAGCACGAAAGCACGGGGAGCAAACAGGAUUAGAUACCCUGGUAGUCCAUGCCCUAAACGAUGAAUACUAGACGUUGGGUGUAAAAACUCAGUGUCGCAGCUAACGCAUUAAGUAUUCCACCUGGGGAGUACGAUCGCAAGGUUG
rnacentral:rRNA from 1 species